rnacentral:rRNA from 1 species
GUGGGGAAUAUUGGACAAUGGGCGCAAGCCUGAUCCAGCCAUGCCGCGUGUGUGAAGAAGGCCUUUUGGUUGUAAAGCACUUUAAGCGAGGAGGAGGCUCCUUUAGUUAAUACCUAAAGAGAGUGGACGUUACUCGCAGAAUAAGCACCGGCUAACUCUGUGCCAGCAGCCGCGGUAAUACAGAGGGUGCGAGCGUUAAUCGGAUUUACUGGGCGUAAAGCGUGCGUAGGCGGCUUUUUAAGUCGGAUGUGAAAUCACUGAGCUUAACUUAGGAAUUGCAUUCGAUACUGGAAAGCUAGAGUAUGGGAGAGGAUGGUAGAAUUCCAGGUGUAGCGGUGAAAUGCGUAGAGAUCUGGAGGAAUACCGAUGGCGAAGGCAGCCAUCUGGCCUAAUACUGACGCUGAGGUACGAAAGCAUGGGGAGCAAACAGGAUUAGAAACCCCAGUAGUCC